AGUAAAGAGGAAACAUUUGACACAUUACUGACAGCACAAUUUUGUAAUGGGGUUCCCAUGUUUGGCAAGUGGUCGACCAUGAAUCUAUCUCCAUCCAUCCAUCCAUCCAGCGAUCCACUGGGAUACUGGGUAUCCUUAUGAGUCGCCGAUCCCUGCCAUACACCCUGAACUGUUCAUCAGCCAAUAUCAGCUUUCACUGGUGCCUUGGGUGACUCAACUUAGAUUUUUUUUGAGAUACAAGCCAUCGUUCGACCAUGUCUUUUUUUUGCUUUGGCAUGCAAGCGCUGACUUGAAUUAAAAGCGCUUUAUGGUGGCUUUUCCACCAGCACCUUGGCAAAAGCUAAACUAAACAUACAAGAGAAUUAGUGUAUUUAAAACAAUCAUCUAUUUUAGCCCUCCAGCCUGCUCGCUUCAUGCCAAUCCUAUGAGGGUUUAACUAUUCAAGCAAUGAGUUGAACAUUAACGAGCACCCAUGUGGAAAGACAAUAUAACUGUACUCACAAUCAUACAUUCUUUACCCUAUGUGAAAAACGGCUAGUAUUUGUGCUGUAAUAAUGAGAAUGAGGACUUGAGACUCUGUAUUGUACUGCCCCCAUUUGGUCAAUGCAAGUACAACAGAGAGUGGAAUGGCCAUUCAGUUAAAGCAGUGGGUAGGCUUGGUGGGUAACAUUUAGAAUACAAAAAAAAAACCCACAACUUUCAUUAAGAUACAUAAAAAAAUAGAUUACAGGUACAUUAAUUUAAUAUUUGGAUUUUCUUUUGCAGGAUUAGUCCGUUUCUCACUGGGGCCUCCACUCCCCAAGAGGGGUCACGUCAGGAAAGGUAUCCGCCAUAAAAACUGAGCCACACAAAUAUGAGCGUUCAUAUAAGAUGACACGCUGUGGCAACCCUUAAUGGAACAAGCCGAAAGAAAGAAAGAAAUAUUUUUAAAGAAGGGAAGGAGGGGCUGAUUGUUGAUUUGAGUCCUCCCCGCUCUCAAAAUAGCCUGCAACCUUUUCAGGAGAUGUGGGAAAAAUAAAUCACAAUAGACCUCAAUGAAACACAGGGAAUCUUUUAUUUUUUCCCCCACCAACCAAAAUGCCACAGGCCAGUGGAUGUAUGUGGGGGCUUCCCAAACCUGUCCAGUUUAAAAGCGAAAUGUAGUGAAUGAACGCUGUUGUCUUGAAUGAUUCAUUGGAGGACUUCUUUAGUUUACACUAAGAUUCGAGAUAAGAUUGUUGCUUUAGAGAAAGAAAUUGCAGCCAACCAUUUGAUAUUCACACGCUUUUGAAAACUGUUGCCUACAUGAACUUUCCUACAGUUGACUGUUUGGUAAAUAAUACAUUCAUUACUUUCCAUGUUGAUUUGGGAGCUUCAAAUUCUAUAUUAAAAGUUUCCGAGCCAGUUGUUCUUGCCCCAACCAAAUGAUCUUGUUACUCAAUGUGUGCAAAUGGAGGUUUACCAAAAGACAAAUUUAUGCACCCUGCUCCAUGUGUAUUGUGUGGCUUUGGACCAGAUAUGCCAUUUAAGCAUCCGUUUGUUGUCAUUCAUAUGUCUAAUCAAUCUGUUGGGAAGGGAUCUCAUGAUAAAAUUGGGAUUGGUAGUGACAUCCGCUCCUGAUGGUAUUGAAAUUACGGCAUCUGGUAGAUAAUGUGGAAUCAUCAUUUGUUAGAUUCCGUCCCGAGAACCUGCAAAACAUUUGUCAUUGGGGAGUCAGCAAUCCAAUUAGCACCAAUCUGACAAGAUAUACGGCACAGUUCAUUUCUCACGAUUCUCGUUUAACAUUUUAAUGAAGAUCUACAAAUUGCAUUGUACGACGUGGAUGACGGACCAAACCGACAUUUUAAGCAGACUUUUUACAGAGACUUAAAUGACUCCUUGAAUAUGAGUGACCUUAUUUUGACAAGAUUUUUGUGCAGCGUUAGUCUCACUAACACUAGUGCAGCUGUCUGUCUGUGAUGUUUUCUGUUCAGCACCACACAUUUCUUUGGCGAAACAAACUGCAGUAAAAUGGCAGGAUAUAGGCAGUUUAUUUCUCGGUGUCAGCGCAUGACUGAUUGGGCACCAACAACAGAUCCAACAAUGGGUUUUUCGGGAUCUGCAUGCCCCACCUUCUUCUCUGAGCCACUCGCCUGCUGUCUUGAACAUUUGACGCUCACACCGGGCACAGCAUCGCUACAAUAUGUUAAUGAUUUGUUGAUUGCUCGUCCCAUCGAAGAACAGCGUGAGACUGAUAUGAUUGUUUUGUUAAAACACCUUGGAUCAGAAGGCCACAAAGCAUCGUUAUUAAAACUGCAGUUUGUAUCACAAGAGGUUAAUUUUCUAGGACACAUCUUCACUCCUCGAGGGAAAAUACUUUAUCCAGCUCAGGUGCAGACUAUUGUUGACACACCAAAACCAUUCACAAAGAAACAGGUAUGGUUUUUGGGAAUGUGCUUAUUGGAGACAUUUCAUCUCAAAAAAGUAAGUUUCGUUCGGCUUGUCCCUUUCGGGGUCGCCACAGCGUGUCAUCUCAGAUGAACGCACAUAUGUUUGGCACAAUUUUUACGCCGGAUGCCCUUCCUGACGCAACCCUUCUCAGGGAGUGGAGGCCCCAGUGGGAUACGAACCCACAACCCCUGGUUUAUCAAACCAGUGCUCUAACCACUGAGCUACAGGGCCUCCAGACAUUUCAUCUCAAAUUAUUAUUAUUAUGACUGUUGUACAUUCACUCACUCUGAACAGGUCACUGAGUUUCUCAUCGCAUGUUAAAUGGACAACUGAGGCUACCAGUGCCUUUGAACACCCAGGGUGCUUUCCAAUCUUGCCCUACUCUUAGGAUUCUGGACUCAUCCAAACCCUUUGUUCAGUUUGUAGACGAACGCCACGGAGACGUGACAUUAGUGUUGUUUCAGCCCCAUGGCGACCAGCUCCUUCCAGUGGGGUAUUUUUACCUUGAACUUCAUUCAGGGUAUAAUGUGAUUAGCAUUCAUUCAGUGGAACGAGGUCUUCCCCUUUGUGCAGUGGCAGCCUGUGAACACGCUGUACUUCCUACAUGUGGGGUAUGCGUGGCUCACUCGAAGUCCACCGCUGUAUCACAAUAUCAUCUGCGAACGUCAUAGUCCAAGGGGAUUCCAGUCUAACCCCACCUGUCAGCCUAUCCAUGACGACCGCAAACAGAAGGGGCUCAGCGCGGAACCCUGAUGCAGUCCCACCGCCACCUUAAAUUCUUCUGACACACCUAAGGCACAUCUCACCGCUGUUCUGCUGCCCUCAUACAUGUCCUGUACUAUUCUAACAUAUUUCUCCGCCACACCAGACUUCCGUAUGCUGUAGAACAGUUUCUCUCUUGGUACUCUGUCAUAGGCUUUCUCUAGGUCUACAAAGACACAAUGUAGCUCCUUCUGAUCUCUGUACUUUUCCACUAGCAUCUUCAAGGUAAAUAAUGCAUCUGUGGUACUCUUUCCAGGCAUGAAACCAUACUGUUGCUCGCAGAUACUUACUUCUGUCCUGAGUCUAGCCUCCACUACUCUUUCCCAUAACUUCAUUGUGUGGCUCAUCAACUUUAUUCCUCUAUAGUUCCCACAGCUCUGAACAUCCCCUUUGUUCUUAAAAAUGGGAACUAGAACACUUUUCCUCCAUUCUUCAGGCAUCUUUUCGCCCGCUAGUAUUCUGUUGAAUAAGUUGGUCAAAAACUCCACAGCCAUCUCUCCAAUUUGCUUCCAUAACUCCACCGGUAUGUAAUCAGGACGAACUGCCUUUACAUUUUUCAUCCUUUGUAGUACCUUUCUAACUUCCCCUUACCAAUUAUUGCCACUUCCUGGUCCUUCACACUUGCCUUUUCUUCUCUUCCUUCUCUCUCUCAUUUUCUUCAUUCAUAAACUUCUCAAAGUAUUCUUUCCAUCUACUUAGCACAUUACUGGCACCAGUCAACAUAUUUCCAUCACUAUCCUUAAUCACCUUUACUUCCUGCACAUCCUUCCCAUCUCUAUCCCUAUGUCUGGCCAACCUGUAGAGAUCCUUUUCUCUUUCUUUCGUAUCCAACCUGGUGUACAAGUUGUCAUGUGCCAGAAUUUCUCUUUCAACUCGAGGUCACAUCCUACCUGUGGGGCAUAGCCGCUAAUCAUAUUAUACACAAUACCCUUAAUUUCAAAUUUGAGCCUCAUCACUCGAUCUGAGACUCUUUUCACCUCUAAUACAUUCUUAGCCAGCUCUUCCUUUAAAAUAACCCCUACUCCAUUUCCCUCCCCAUCUACUCCAUGGUAAAAUAAAAUUAAUAAAAUUAUAAUAUUAAACCCUGCUCCCAAGCUGCUAGCCUUACUCCCUUACCACUUGCUCUCUUGGAUGCGCAAUAUAUAAACCUUUCUCCUAAUCAUCAUGUCAACUAACUCCUGAGCUUUUCCUGUCAUAGUCCCAACAUUCAAAGUCCCUACACACAGUUGUAGGGUCUGUGCAUGCCUCUUAUGCCGACUAAGCCGCUUUCCUCCUCUUUUUUUGUCUUCGACCUACAUUAUUUGAAUUUCUACCUACGCCUUACAGAUUAAUAGUGCCGGGUGCGGGCGUAGUUAGCCCGUGCCACGACCUAACUGUUAUGGCAUUCAUUUGAUGAACGCUCAUAUGUUUGGCACAGUUUUAUGCUGGAUGACCUUCCUGACGCAACCCGCUGCAAUUAUUCGGGUUUGGGACCAGCCUACAGGUUGCGCAGAAAUUGUGCCCCCCUUUGGGCUGCAGAUAGUCAAAAGAAGCAAUCAAAUAAAGUCAGCACACAAGAUACACAAUUCAAAUACUACCUAAAUCUAUGUUAAAGUCAAAAUCAGAUAAAAGCAACCGAAUAAAGAAAGUCAGCACACACAAAUUACAUACUACCUGUGUGAAAAUAUAAAGGAGAUGGCGAUUUAAAGGAUAUGUGGAUGUGAUUCAAACCACAAUGGCCCUUACUCUAGUAGUUGAAGGGUGAGUCCACGUUUGAUGUUUGGUCCUCAUUGUAUACGCUACGUAGGUAAUGUUGUUAGCGCACUAGGCUAACUUAGGCCGGGCAGCUUCAACGCAAAUGAUCCGGCUCCAAUUUGGGUACUAAAAUGUACUAAGCUAAGACUGUUAAAUUUCCUAUAAUUCCUCACAGCCCUCAUUGUACAAGUUGUUUAGGACGUACAUACAAGUUAUGAAGUUACUCACGUUCGAUGUUUCUUCAACAGCACAGUUUGAUCACAAAUGCGUCUCCGUGCUAUCCAGCUAAGCUAAGGUAGUCUGGGCCUAUAAGGAAGUUUAAGUUGACGUUUCCACUUGCCCAACUUCCUAAAAAGUACUCACGGUCCUCGUUGUAUACAAAAUACAAGUUUUGCAGGUCGUGUAAAUACUAAUGUUUGAUGUUUACUUCCUCAGCAAAUAUUUGAUUACAUACGUGACUUGAUGUUAUUGAGCUACGUUAGGCCACGCAGCUUCAACAUGAACGAAUACGGCUCCAUUUUAGUGCAGAUUACACAGAUGAUGAUUUUAGUCCACUGUAGUCGUCACCAGGGGCGUCCCACGUUGAGUAUUAAAAACAUUCGGUCCAAAUUCAGCAGGAUUUAUUUAUUGUACGGUCGUGCAGGUCGGAGCCCCCUCGAUUUGUUGUCACCAGUUUGGUAACCAGAAGCCAACCAACAGAGUAAAUGUCGUGAAGACACAAAAUUAAAUUGGAUCAAGUGUCUGCCAAUUGUCUUGAUGUUUAUGAGGACGCGUGUGCGUCUGAGCCACAAUCUGUCCCCAUUUGAGAUCCUGUUUGCGAGGCCUCUGAAUGUUGGACUGCAUCAUCAGCUAGCCAAUGGACACACACCUUUGCAAGGACAAUAUGAUCAGUUAUUGCACAUAUCUGACUAACGUGCUUUCUGUCAGGAAACAAGUUCAUGCAGCACUAGCGAGGAGGACAAACGGAACCUUGCAUGACGUCAAACCUGGUGACUUUGUGCUGAUAAAGGACUUCCAGCGAAAAACGUGGAGGCAUCAGCGCUGGCUGGGCCCUUUUCAAGUUCUCCCGUGACCAACAGUGCAGUGAAGGUGCACUAUUAAUGCUUCUUGGAUAUCUGCCCUUGUGCUUCAUAAAGUAUUUAAGGGUUAGUGAUCAUACUAAGCUUGUGCUUAUUUAAAAUUUGGUUUUAGCGUGUAUAUAGAGUAAAAUGAUCACAAAGUAGGAUAGUCAUUGUGGAGUGGCUGUAAUGGAGCACCUUGAAA